AGUGAACGCUGGCGGUAGGCCUAACACAUGCAAGUCGAACGGCAGCACAGUAAGAGCUUGCUCUUACGGGUGGCGAGUGGCGGACGGGUGAGGAAUACAUCGGAAUCUACUUUUUCGUGGGGGAUAACGUAGGGAAACUUACGCUAAUACCGCAUACGACCUACGGGUGAAAGCAGGGGAUCUUCGGACCUUGCGCGAUUGAAUGAGCCGAUGUCGGAUUAGCUAGUUGGCGGGGUAAAGGCCCACCAAGGCGACGAUCCGUAGCUGGUCUGAGAGGAUGAUCAGCCACACUGGAACUGAGACACGGUCCAGACUCCUACGGGAGGCAGCAGUGGGGAAUAUUGGACAAUGGGCGCAAGCCUGAUCCAGCCAUAGCGCGUGGGUGAAGAAGGCCUUCGGGUUGUAAAGCCCUUUUGUUGGGAAAGAAAAGCAGCAGGUUAAUACCCCGCUGUUCUGACGGUACCCAAAGAAUAAGCACCGGCUAAAUUCG
rnacentral:rRNA from 1 species